AGUACAGGAUGGACCCGCGUCUGAUUAGCUAGUUGGUAAGGUAACGGCUUACCAAGGCGACGAUCAGUAGCCGACCUGAGAGGGUGAUCGGCCACAUUGGAACUGAGACACGGUCCAAACUCCUACGGGAGGCAGCAGUGGGGAAUAUUGCACAAUGGGCGAAAGCCUGAUGCAGCAACGCCGCGUGAGUGAUGAAGGCCUUCGGGUCGUAAAACUCUGUCCUCAAGGAAGAUAAUGACGGUACUUGAGGAGGAAGCCCCGGCUAACUACGUGCCAGCAGCCGCGGUAAUACGUAGGGGGCUAGCGUUAUCCGGAUUUACUGGGCGUAAAGGGUGCGUAGGCGGUCUUUCAAGUCAGGAGUGAAAGGCUACGGCUCAACCGUAGUAAGCUCUUGAAACUGGGAGACUUGAGUGCAGGAGAGGAGAGUGGAAUUCCUAGUGUAGCGGUGAAAUGCGUAGAUAUUAGGAGGAACACCAGUUGCGAAGGCGGCUCUCUGGACUGUAACUGACGCUGAGGCACGAAAGCGUGGGGAGCAAACAGGAUUAGAUACCCUGGUAGUCCACGCUGUAAACGAUGAGUACUAGGUGUCGGGGGUUACCCCC
rnacentral:rRNA from 1 species